CCAUUUCCAUUAAGAAAUACUGCUCUCAAGUGUUUUUCUCCUAAGAUUUUAUCUAUUACCUGGGCUGAGAAGUGUAGUCUGUUGCAAAAGAAAAAGUUGACCCCAACAGGAAAUCCUUCUCUUUUUCACGAAUGGUAUAUAUAGUCCAGGGUCUCUAUCAAGGAGGUUACAAGUGUCAUGUGUAGUCCCUGCUGUCACGUGGUAAUAAGCAUAUUUAAAUUAUAACCAGAUAAAAGGUGGAUUGGUUUAAAAAGUGACAUAGUUGGAUUUUCAUACAUUUUAGCCAAUCCCCAGAUUGGGUAUUUAAACCAAUAUGUUGUAUAACUUCCUUUUUCCUAGCAUUAUAGGUAAAUUUAUAUGCAUUGGCACAUCACAUACCAGGGAUCCAAGGGCUUGAAUGAAAGUGAUACUAGGAUGGUUCUUAUAACUAUAUUCUAUUUAAAGAAAGUUUGCAGUGUCAUAUCAAAAAAUAUGUUCACCACUAUCUUUCACUUUGACAAGGACUACAGUGGCUGUCUGAACACUUUUAAGCCCAUAAUCUUUACUUUAACUUGAAUUUUGGAGCCAAACCUAAUUCUGGUCAUACAUCUGUGACCAUACAGAUUACUAUUUAUUCUAUAUUGAUUCAUGGUCAGAAAGAGUCAUUCAAUAUUGACCUACAUUACUGUCUAAAUCUACAACCCAAGGAAUAUUCUAC